rnacentral:rRNA from 1 species
GAUGAACGCUGGCGGCGUGCCUAAUACAUGCAAGUCGAGCGAACGGACGAGGAGCUUGCUCCUCUGACGUUAGCGGCGGACGGGUGAGUAACACGUGGAUAACCUACCUAUAAGACUGGGAUAACUUCGGGAAACCGGAGCUAAUACCGGAUAAUAUUUUGAACCGCAUGGUUCAAUAGUGAAAGACGGUUUUGCUGUCACUUAUAGAUGGAUCCGCGCCGCAUUAGCUAGUUGGUAAGGUAACGGCUUACCAAGGCAACGAUGCGUAGCCGACCUGAGAGGGUGAUCGGCCACACUGGAACUGAGACACGGUCCAGACUCCUACGGGAGGCAGCAGUAGGGAAUCUUCCGCAAUGGGCGAAAGCCUGACGGAGCAACGCCGCGUGAGUGAUGAAGGUCUUCGGAUCGUAAAACUCUGUUAUUAGGGAAGAACAAAUGUGUAAGUAACUAUGCACGUCUUGACGGUACCUAAUCAGAAAGCCACGGCUAACUACGUG